UCACCCGAGGGGACGAAGACGCGGCCGAUCGACGAUGCAGUGCCGCCCGCCCCGUUGCGCGCACCCUGGCGACGAAUUCGGUCCAUGAACUGCCGCCCACGAACCAAUAGUGCAUUCGAUAGUGGGCAAAGCUCCCUCGUGGUUCACCUCAGGCGCUCUCUGGUUGCUUAUCGGUGGCGCGAGGUCGGAUCAAUGGUGGCCGCAACACUCCAUCUCUCAGCUCUCCCAUGUGGCGAUACUGUUCUCGAUGUUUGCAACGCGGAAGCCCCGAUGGCU
rnacentral:lncRNA from 7 species